GAGAGUAUAGCUCAGUGGUAGAGUGUAUGCUUAGCAUGCACAAAGUCCUGGGUUCAAUCCCCAGUACCUCCA
rnacentral:tRNA from 1 species